AGCGAACGCUGGCGGCAGGCCUAACACAUGCAAGUCGAACGAACCUUUCGGGGUUAGUGGCGGACGGGUGAGUAACACGUGGGAACGUGCCUUUAGGUUCGGAAUAACUCAGGGAAACUUGUGCUAAUACCGAAUGUGCCCUUCGGGGGAAAGAUUUAUCGCCUUUAGAGCGGCCCGCGUCUGAUUAGCUAGUUGGUUGAGGUAAUGGCUCACCAAGGCAACGAUCAGUAGCUGGUCUGAGAGGAUGAUCAGCCACAUUGGGACUGAGACACGGCCCAAACUCCUACGGGAGGCAGCAGGGGGGAAUCUUGCGCAAUGGGCGAAAGCCUGACGCAGCCAUGCCGCGUGAAUGAUGAAGGUCUUAGGAUUGUAAAAUUCUUUCACCGGGGACGAUAAUGACGGUACCCGGAGAAGAAGCCCCGGCUAACUUCGUG
rnacentral:rRNA from 1 species